rnacentral:rRNA from 1 species
GACGAACGCUGGCGGCGUGCCUAAUACAUGCAAGUAGAACGCUGAAGAGAGGAGCUUGCUCUUCUUGGAUGAGUCGCGAACGGGUGAGUAACGCGUAGGUAACCUGCCUUGUAGCGGGGGAUAACUAUUGGAAACGAUAGCUAAUACCGCAUAACAAUGGAUGACACAUGUCGUUUAUUUGAAAGGGGCAAUUGCUCCACUACAAGAUGGACCUUCGUCGUAUUAGCUAGUAGGUGAGGUAAUGGCUCACCUAGGCGACGUUACAUAGCCGACCUGAGAGGGUGGGUGGCCACACUGGGACUGAGACAGGGCCCAGACGCCUACAGGAGGCAGCAGUAGGGAAUCUGCGGCAAUGGGGGCAACACUGACCGAGCAACGCCGCGUGAGGGAAGAAGGUUUUCGGAUCGUAAAGCUCGGUUGUAAGUCAAGAACGGGUGUGAGAGUGGAAAGUUCACAGUGUGACGGUAGCUUACCAGAAAGCGACGGCUAACUACGUG